rnacentral:rRNA from 1 species
AUUGAACGCUGGCGGAAUGCUUUACACAUGCAAGUCGAACGGCAGCACGGACUUCGGUCUGGUGGCGAGUGGCGAACGGGUGAGUAAUGUAUCGGAACGUGCCCAGUCGUGGGGGAUAACGUAGUGAAAAUUACGCUAAUACCGCAUACGAUCUAUGGAUGAAAGCGGGGGACCGCAAGACCUCGCGCGAUUGGAGCGGCCGAUAUCAGAUUAGGUAGUUGGUGGGGUAAAGGCCCACCAAGCCAACGAUCUGUAGCUGGUCUGAGAGGACGACCAGCCACACUGGAACUGAGCCACGGUCCAGACUCCUACGGGAGGCAGCAGUGGGGAAUUUUGGACAAUGGGCGAAAGCCUGAUCCAGCCAUUCCGCGUGCAGGAUGAAGGCCCUCGGGUUGUAAACUGCUUUUGUACAGAACGAAAAGGUUUCUACUAAUACUAGGAGCUCAUGACGGUACUGUAAGAAUAAGCACCGGCUAACUACGUGCCAGCCGCCGCAGUAA